GACGAACGCUGGCGGCGUGCUUAACACAUGCAAGUCGAACGUGAUUUUUGUGGAAAUUCUUUCGGGAAUGGAAAUGAAAUGAAAGUGGCGAACGGGUGAGUAACACGUGAGCAACCUACCUUACACAGGGGGAUAGCCGUUGGAAACGACGAUUAAUACCGCAUGAGACCACAGAAUCGCAUGAUAUAGGGGUCAAAGAUUUAUCGGUGUAAGAAGGGCUCGCGUCUGAUUAGCUAGUUGGAAGGGUAAAGGCCUACCAAGGCGACGAUCAGUAGCCGGUCUGAGAGGAUGAACGGCCACAUUGGAACUGAGACACGGUCCAAACUCCUACGGGAGGCAGCAGUGGGGAAUAUUGCACAAUGGGGGGAACCCUGAUGCAGCGACGCCGCGUGAGCGAAGAAGGUUUUCGAAUCGUAAAGCUCUGUCCUAUGAGAAGAUAAUGACGGUAUCAUAGGAGGAAGCCCCGGCUAAAUACGUGCCAGCAGCCGCGGUAAUACGUAUGGGGCGAGCGUUGUCCGGAAUUAUUGGGCGUAAAGGGUACGUAGGCGGUUUUUUAAGUCAGGUGUGAAAGCGUGAGGCUUAACCUCAUUAAGCACUUGAAACUGGAAGACUUGAGUGAAGGAGAGGAAAGUGGAAUUCCUAGUGUAGCGGUGAAAUGCGUAGAUAUUAGGAGGAAUACCGGUGGCGAAGGCGACUUUCUG
rnacentral:rRNA from 1 species